rnacentral:rRNA from 1 species
UACGGAGGGUGCAAGCGUUAUCCGGAUUCACUGGGUUUAAAGGGUGCGUAGGAGGGCAGGUAAGUCAGUGGUGAAAUCUUUGGGCUUAACCCGAAAACUGCCAUUGAUACUAUCUGUCUUGAAUCCCGUGGAGGUGAGCGGAAUAUGUCAUGUAGCGGUGAAAUGCUUAGAUAUGACAUAGAACACCAAUUGCGAAGGCAGCUCGCUACACGAAGAUUGACUCUGAGGCACGAAAGCGUGGGGAUCAAACAGGG